UACGAAGGGGGCUAGCGUUGUUCGGAAUACUGGGCGUAAAGCGUGCGCAGGCGGUUUUGUAAGUCUGUCGUGAAAGCCCCGGGCUCAACCUGGGAAUUGCGAUGGAGACUGCAAGGCUUGAAUCUGGCAGAGGGGGGUAGAAUUCCACGUGUAGCAGUGAAAUGCGUAGAGAUGUGGAGGAACACCGAUGGCGAAGGCAGCCCCCUGGGUCAAGAUUGACGCUCAUGCACGAAAGCGUGGGGGAGCAAACAGG
rnacentral:rRNA from 1 species